rnacentral:lncRNA from 1 species
GCUUUCCUAUCCAGGACCCUGCUGCCUCUGACCGCACCCCAAGCCUUCUCUGCUGCUCACAUGGGCUCCUCUCUCCUUUGUGCUUUUUGCCUUCUGUCCCCACUGCCUGGAAAACGUUCCCCUCACAUUUUGCAUGGCUGCUGCCUUCUCAUCACAGAGGUCUCAGGUCAACCAUCACUACCCCCAGGAGGCCUUCCUUGACUGCCCUAUCUCCUGUCACUGGCCUCCACUACCAGUCACUGCCAUGUUCACUUCCUUUUGUUGUCAUCUAGCACCUGUCCCUGUCUGAAUUGUAUCAUUUAUCUGUUAUUAUUUGUUUAUUCUGUUCCUGCCUGUCUCCCUGAGGCCAGGGACCUUGUCUGUCUUUAUUACUAUGCUGACCCUGGUGCUCAGCACUUAAUAAAGAAUCAUUAAAACAAAAUGAAUGAAGGACACUAAAGGCUGUCAUAGAAGUUACUUGGACAACACCACCCACCCCUGGGGGGUGGGGUGGUGGGAACUUGCUUGGUGAUGGCAACAAACAAACAAACACUUUCCCCUUCCCACUUCUCUUCCGGUAUUCCAGACAGGAGGAAUAAUGUACUGAUCUGCUGACAUUAAGAAGGACCCUAUUUUCAGAUUACUUCUUCAAAGGAGCAGCAUCUACAUUGGCAAGAUUUUUGAAAAAAUUGGAUUCCUCGGCCAGGAGUGGUGGCUCACACCUGUAAUUCCAACACUUCGGGAGGCCGAGGCGGGCAGAUCACCCGAGGUCAGGAGUUCGAGACCAGCCUGACCAACAUGGAGAAACCCUGUCUCUACUUAAAGUACAAAAUUAGCCAGGUGUGGUGGCGCAUGCCUGUAAUCCCAGCUACUCAGGAGGCUGAGGCAGGAGAAUUGCUUGAAUCCGGGAGGCAGAGGUUGUGGUGAGCCAAGAUCACGCCAUUGCACUCCCCCCUGGGCAACAAGAGUGAAACUCCAUCUCAAAAAAAAAAAAAAAAGAAAAAAGAAAAUUGGAUUCCUCAAUCCAGGAUCUCUUGCAUUUGGAGAACUUUAGGCUUUCAGCUGUUGCAUGCCUAGGCCUUGUCAUAAUCCAAUAAAGCAGGAUAUGGAACGGGAUAUUGGAUAUGGAAGGGGAUAGGAUUGGUGGAUGAAACAGAGAAAGGGAGAGAGAGACAGAAAACACACACACACACACACACUCUGAGAGAGAGAGAGACACACACAGAGAGAGAGAUUCCGCUGUAACAAACUCUUGGAAGACAGAAAGAGGAGGCAAAGGAGAGGAAGGGCCAGUGACAGCUCUGCUGCUCUGAAAGUCAAGGGGCCCUUGGCUCACUGCCUUCCCCGUCCUUCCCUGGGGCCAGGUGCGCUGGAAUCCUAGAUUCCCUGGGAGUGAGGGUAGGUACCAUGACGGCAUGAAGUCACCUCCCACCACCUUCAAGACUUCCCACUGCCAGUCUGUAGCCUGUGUGUUGAGUCCUGGUCCAACCCUGAGUCACCCGUGUGAACUGGGGUCAGUGAUUGGUCUCUAGUUCUCCAUCUCUCCAUCUGAAGAAUGUGAAUAAUAAUUUCUGACUUGGCUGUUUACAGGACCGCCGUGAGGAUCCAAGUGCACAGUGAGGUGGGGGGAGGCAGAUACAUGGAUUCCUUUCCACGUGGCCCACAAGAAACACCUGUCCCUCCAGACUCGGGGACCACCAGGGACCUUGAAUAGUUGCCUUGGCAACUCAUUGCCUGGCUAACUCCCACUCCUUUGGGUUUCAGCUUAAACAUCAGUUGUGCAAGAUCUUCUGGACCCCUAAGUUGGGUCCUCCUCUUCUCUCUGAGGAAAAGGAAUAUGUUUCUGUUGCGUACCAUCUUAUCACCACGUAGCAGUGGGUGCUCCAUAAGAUCCUCCUGCGUGAGUAAGUGAAUUCCCUGCCUCAUCCCUCUCUCAUGCCUUAGCAUGAGGCCUGAGGCCAAGAGCCCGUCCAUCACAUACCCCUUGCCCAAAGCCUCCUUAUAACGGUCAGGAGAAGGGUGGCAUCUCCUCCUCUCCCUUCUAACUCAAGGAACAAAUCACUGGCUACAUGAUAGUUGCCCUUCCUCCCAUCCUUCCAGCAUAGUAGCCCCUGCCCAGGAUCCAAAAGGCAGAAGGUGAGUAAUUGCUAUUUUUAUUUAUCUUUGCACAAGGCUGCCCUCUGGUGGUCGAACAUGUAGGAGCGAAUGGGAAGGAUGGAAACCCCAGUAGCCAGGAACCAGCCCAGCUGGCUGAGCCAACCACGCUCAAGAGACUGGCCAGCGAGCCAGGGAGUAGGCCCAAACCAGAGGAAAUAACAUAAACCAGGACUCCUUGGAAAAGCCCUCGGAUGCCUCAGUGCCCCUCCCUGGAGUUUUGUCCUGUGCAGUGGCCGUCCAUCUUGCAUCCUUUAGAAGAAGCCUCUUGAAAGCGAGAACCAACAGGCCCAGGAAUCCCUGGAUCCACCUCACCUCCACUUCAGAUUGCUGAGGCCUCACUGCCAGGGAUGCCAGCCGCAGCCUCCAGGAGGGCAUCAGGGAAGGAAAGAGAGCUGCUGAGGAGGGACUUUGAAGCUGAAAAGCAGUGUGACUGCUUCAUUUGCUCCCAUGCCAAGUGACAGCCACAAAGUUAGUUAUUCUUCUCUACAGGCUUUUAAUUGUCUGUAAUCUAAUUACCACUCAACCUGCUUCCCCCGUCAUGCUAUUAAUUAAGGCAGGGUGGCUUUGCUAGGGCAUAAGGGAGUUCUUGCAUUUCUUUGCUUCUUACUCAACUUGUACAUUCAGGCAAAAGUAUUAGGGACAGCCAGUGCCAGUCUUUGAUUUCUUUUUUCCUGUUCUUACUGUGGCUAUUUCCCCUUCUCUCCCUGCUAGUAAGGGUAGCCCUGACCCUCCAUGCCCCAACCCCAACCACGUUCCACUUUGGUACCCCCUGGUGCUGGGUCAUAGCUGCUUGGCCUAUGACCUAGGGAUAUUGCGACCAUGUGACUGUGCACUUACCAUGGUUGGGCUGGGAACUCAGUAGCAGCCCUGCUGUAGUAGGUCUGGUCAUCGUGGGGUUUGACGAGGGUGUCCCUGGAGCCGUAGUGCUCUUGGCGGGACUGAUGCUGGUUGCAGGAGCGAGGCUAGUCACCUUAACCUGGAGAUGUAGCACAGAGUACACAGUAGCCCAGCUUUUGCACAAAAGGGACUUAACUUUGGACUCUGGGAACCUCAGUGAUGGAUUUCAAACCAGCAAAGAGUCACUGUGGAGGAGGAGGAGGGAAGGAUAGCAGAAAGACUGUGCAAAAAGGGGACCUGACAGAGCAUCAGGUCCAGCAUGUCCAUCCUAUGGAUGAAGAAACUGGGGCCCAGAGAGGAGAGGGAUGAGGAUCAAAGAGCCAGCAGGUGGUCAAGGCAGAGACGAAACCUGCUCUCCCGAUUUCCCAGGCCGGCACUCUUCCCCUGCUCCACACCGACCAGGCUCACGCACAAUUGAGUAGGGGCUUCUGGGCUUGCACCCCACGCUGCUGCAGUGAAGGCCAAGAGGACCUGGGAAAGAACUUCAGACUGGAGGACAGUUUCAGAAAAGAGAUGGGGGAUGUGGCACUUUUAUUUCCUAGAGAAUAUGAUGAGGACAUUGCGAACCCCUCCCCCAGUGAGACAUAGCUUUGGCAGGGGGAGGCAAGUAUGAGUUUUGAAGAAGGAGAAGUCCCAGGUUUGUGUCCUGUUUCUUAGUAUCAUCUAAGUGACAAGUCCCUAUGGAGGGAUAAGAAUUUCCACCUCACAGAGAAAGAGGUGGAGGCUGGAGACACCCGCACUUUGGGGCAGAUGGGAGGGCCCUGGCCUCUGACUCCCAGUGUCAUGCAGGGAAUGUAGUUGGUCUGCUGUGUCC